AUUGAACGCUGGCGGCAUGCUUUACACAUGCAAGUCGAACGGCAGCGCGGGCUUCGGCCUGGCGGCGAGUGGCGAACGGGUGAGUAAUGCAUCGGAACGUGCCCAGUAGUGGGGGAUAGCCCGGCGAAAGCCGGAUUAAUACCGCAUACGACCUGAGGGUGAAAGCGGGGGACCGAAAGGCCUCGCGCUAUUUGAGCGGCCGAUGUCGGAUUAGCUAGUUGGUGGGGUAAAGGCUUACCAAGGCGACGAUCCGUAGCUGGUCUGAGAGGACGACCAGCCACACUGGGACUGAGACACGGCCCAGACUCCUACGGGAGGCAGCAGUGGGGAAUUUUGGACAAUGGGGGCAACCCUGAUCCAGCCAUGCCGCGUGCGGGAAGAAGGCCUUCGGGUUGUAAACCGCUUUUGUUAGGGAAGAAAACCUCUGGGCUAAUACCCCGGGGGGAUGACGGUACCGGAAGAAUAAGCACCGGCUAACUACGUG
rnacentral:rRNA from 1 species